GCUGAAAUAUCUCAGCUGGGAGAAUGUUAGACUGAAGAUCUAAAGGUCCCUGGUUCAAACCAGGGUUUCAGCA
rnacentral:tRNA from 1 species